UGCAAGAGAAGAAGCGUUCAACCAAGCCGUGACAGGCAAGUCAGGGCUUCGGCGGGAAAUUGCUCUUACC
rnacentral:ncRNA from 1 species